UAUUAAUUUUCAUGAUAAAUCUGUGUCAUUGAAUUAGUAAAAAUAAUUAGUGACAUAGAUUUUUCAUGAAGGUCAAUGA
rnacentral:pre_miRNA from 1 species